rnacentral:rRNA from 1 species
UACAGAGGGUGCGAGCGUUGUUCGGAAUUAUUGGGCGUAAAGCGCUUGUAGGCGGCACGUCAAGUCGCGUGUGAAAUCCCCAGGCUUAACCUGGGAAGUGCGCGCGAAACUGACGAGCUUGAGUGCCGGAGAGGGUCGCGGAAUUCCCGGUGUAGAGGUGAAAUUCGUAGAUAUCGGGAGGAACACCAGUGGCGAAGGCGGCGACCUGGACGGACACUGGACGCUGAGACGCGAAAGCGUGGGGAGCAAACAGG